AAUAAGAUUAUUUUUCAGUUUUUUGAUACAAUGUUUUGACUCUUCAUCCUAUUUAAAAUUUUUUUACGAUUAAUAUUUUUAUUUUUACUAGAUAAUAAAACAUGAAUAGCACUUUAUACGUGACUAAUUUUUUUUAGUUUUUAUACAAAAUUUUCAAAUAAGACGAAUGGUCAAACGUUGGACACGGAAAAAC
rnacentral:pre_miRNA from 1 species